UCUUCGGAGGGGUUGGGGACUCAUGGGAGACUGCCGGGGUCAACUCGGAGGAAGGUGGGGAUGACGUCAAGUCAUCAUGCCCCUUAUGUCUUGGGCUGCAAACAUGCUACAAUGGCCGGUACAGAGGGCUGCUAAGCCGUAAGGUGGAGCGAAUCCCUAAAAGCCGGUCUCAGUUCGGAUUGGGGUCUGCAACUCGACCCCAUGAAGUCGGAGUCGCUAGUAAUCGCAGAUCAGCAACGCUGCGGUGAAUACGUUCCCGGGCCUUGUACACACCGCCCGUCACGUCACGAAAGUCGGCAACACCCGAAGCCCGUGGCCCAACCAGCUUGCUGGGGGGAGCGGUCGAAGGUGGGGCUGGCGAUUGGGACGAAGUCGUAACAAGGUAGCCGUACCGGAAGGUGCGGCUGGAUCACCUCCUUAAUCUAGAUGCAUCGCGAGUCACC
rnacentral:rRNA from 1 species